ACGCUGGCUCCCACUGAGCCCGCGCCCUCUUCCUCGGGGCGAAGUGGCGGGCCACGGCGCCCCGAGCCUUGUAGGUCAGGCAAGGCAAGGGGCGCCCUAACCAGUCGCCGCUGGCCCGCGCCACCUGUUGGAGUGGGGAAGCCGGCGACGCGCGGCUACCGGCGGACUCACGCUCAGCGGCCAGAGUGAAGUCCGGGCCGCGGAGCCGCGGGUUUCUGCUGAUAAGUGCAAAGAACCACCGUCUCGGUGCUAAGUGCACAGUAAACCCCAGAGUUUUAAUGCUAUCAUGCAGCCAACCCUCUAACAGAAGGCUUAAAUCUCCCCAAGCCGUGGGCCAGCCGGCAGAGAUUUCUCAGGCAGCUUCCCACGACCUGUUGCCAUUACCACCGCCUCAGAUAUGGGUAAGGAAUGCGCUUCCGCCCCCCCCCCCCCCCAUUGCCAUUGCCAUUGCCAUUGCCAUUGCCAUUGCCAUUUAAAAUCCCAG
rnacentral:lncRNA from 1 species